GGGAUGCGUUCCAUUAGGCAGUUGGUGAGGUAACGGCUCACCAAACCUUCGAUGGAUAGGGGUUCUGAGAGGAAGGUCCCCCACAUUGGAACUGAGACACGGUCCAAACUCCUACGGGAGGCAGCAGUGAGGAAUAUUGGUCAAUGGGCGCANGCCUGAACCAGCCAAGUAGCGUGAAGGAUGACUGCCCUAUGGGUUGUAAACUUCUUUUAUAUGGGAAUAAAGUUUUCCACGUGUGGAAUUUUGUAUGUACCAUAUGAAUAAGGAUCGGCUAACUCCGUGCCAGCAGCCGCGGUAAUACGGAGGAUCCGAGCGUUAUCCGGAUUUAUUGGGUUUAAAGGGAGCGUAGGUGGACAGUUAAGUCAGUUGUGAAAGUUUGCGGCUCAACCGUAAAAUUGCAGUUGAUACUGGCUGUCUUGAGUACAGUAGAGGUGGGCGGAAUUCGUGGUGUAGCGGUGAAAUGCUUAGAUAUCACGAAGAACUCCGAUUGCGAAGGCAGCUCACUGGACUGCAACUGACACUGAUGCUCGAAAGUGUGGGUAUCAAACAGGAUUAGAUACCCUGGUAGUCCACACAGUAAACGAUGAAUACUCGCUGUUUGCGAUAUACAGUAAGCGGCCAAGCGAAAGCAUUAAGUAUUCCACCUGGGGAGUACGCCGGCAACGGUGAAACUCAAAGGAAUUGACGGGGGCCCGCACAAGCGGAGGAACAUGUGGUUUAAUUCGAUGAUACGCGAGGAACCUUACCCGGGCUUAAAUUGCAUUUGAAUAUAUUGGAAACAGUAUAGCCGUAAGGCAAAUGUGAAGGUGCUGCAUGGUUGUCGUCAGCUCGUGCCGUGAGGUGUCGGCUUAAGUGCCAUAACGAGCGCAACCCUUAUCUUUAGUUACUAACAGGUCAUGCUGAGGACUCUAGAGAGACUGCCGUCGUAAGAUGUGAGGAAGGUGGGGAUGACGUCAAAUCAGCACGGCCCUUACGUCCGGGGCUACACACGUGUUACAAUGGGGGGUACAGAAGGCAGCUACCUGGUGACAGGAUGCUAAUCCCAAA
rnacentral:rRNA from 1 species